rnacentral:rRNA from 1 species
GCCAGACUCCUACGGGAGGCAGCAGUGGGGGAUAUUGCACAAUGGGGGAAACCCUGAUGCAGCGACGCCGCGUGAGUGAAGAAGUAUUUCGGUAUGUAAAGCUCUAUCAGCAGGGAAGAAAAAAGACGGUACCUGACUAAGAAGCCCCGGCUAACUACGUGCCAGCAGCCGCGGUAAUACGUAGGGGGCAAGCGUUAUCCGGAUUUACUGGGUGUAAAGGGAGCGUAGACGGCAAUACAAGUCGGAAGUGAAAUACCCGGGCUCAACCUGGGAACUGCUUUGGAAACUGUAUGGCUGGAGUGCUGGAGAGGUGAGCGGAAUUCCUAGUGUAGCGGUGAAAUGCGUAGAUAUUAGGAGGAACACCAGUGGCGAAGGCGGCUUACUGGACAGUAACUGACGUUGAGGCUCGAAAGCGUGGGGAGCAAACAGGAUUAGAUACCCUAGUA